rnacentral:rRNA from 1 species
CCACACUGGAACUGAGACACGGUCCAGACUCCUACGGGAGGCAGCAGUGGGGAAUAUUGCACAAUGGGCGCAAGCCUGAUGCAGCCAUGCCGCGUGUGUGAAGAAGGCCUUCGGGUUGUAAAGCACUUUCAGCGGGGAGGAAGGCGGUGAGGUUAAUAACCUCACCGAUUGACGUUACCCGCAGAAGAAGCACCGGCUAACUCCGUGCCAGCAGCCGCGGUAAUACGGAGGGUGCAAGCGUUAAUCGGAAUUACUGGGCGUAAAGCGCACGCAGGCGGUCUGUCAAGUCGGAUGUGAAAUCCCCGGGCUCA